rnacentral:rRNA from 1 species
UAAAUGGCCGCGGUAUUUUGACCGUGCAAAGGUAGCAUAAUCAUUAGUUUUUUAAUUGAAAGCUGGUAUGAAAGGUUGAAUGAGAAAAUAGCUGUCUCUGCUUUAACUAUUUAGAAUUUUAUUUUUAAGUAAAAAAGCUUAAAUUUUAGUAGAAGACGAGAAGACCCUAUAGAGUUUUAUUUAUUUUUUGUUUAAAAUUUUAAGUAUUGAAAAUUUUUAUGUUUAAAAUAAAUUUAAUUGGGGUGAUUGAAAAAUUUAUUAAACUUUUUUUUUAUAUAAUCAUUAAUUUAUGAGUUUUUGAUCCUUUUAUAAAGAUUAUAAGAUUAAAUUACCUUAGGGAUAACAGCGUAAUUUUUUUAAAGAGUUCAAAUCGAAAAAAAAGAUUGCGACCUCGAUGUUGGAUUAAAAUAAAAUUUUGGUGUAGAAGCUAAGAUAUUUAGGUCUGUUCGACCUUUAAAAUUUUACAUGAUCUGAGUUUAAACCGGUGUGAGCCAGGUUGGUUUCUAUCUCUACUUUGUUAUAAUAUUUUAGUACGAAAGGACCAAGUAUUAGUUUGAUAAAUUUAUUUUAGAAUAAUAUU